AUCAUGACUCUCCUGUUCUCUUCCUCUCUCGGCUUAACCUCGACGAGCCACUCUAGCCAUCGUCGCCACUAGCCUAGGUGGGCAUAGGCAGUGGUUUGGAGUUUGUGGAGGACGAUGGUGCUUUGGGGUCAAAGUUGGAUCUGUUUUGUUCUUAUUAUUUUAGUGUUUUUUUUUUAAAUUGAAUUUUGUAUUCAUUAAUCUCAGCUAUUGUAAAACAUUGUAUCGAUUUUAUUUUCUAUUUUGAUAAUAUAUAGUUUGUUAUUUGGAUUUUUAAAAUGUAUACAUUGUUAUUUUGUGGAUU